UAUCCACCUUCUUCUCAUCUAACUCUCGGCAAGAACGCAAAUACAGCCAUUUCACCAGAAUGUUGAACUUGUUUUUUUUUUUUGUUUUUGUUUUUUUGGUGGACCGAUGGGUUUAACAAUAAAAAAAGGCUCCAGCAGUGAUCCCCGUGAGCGUCGUGGGUGUUGGAUGCUACCAGCAGCUGGAUGGACAGUGUGUUAAGUCUCCCACCAGCCUCCCUCUUCCUCCCUCCUCUUCUCUCGGUGCCCAAGAGCACAAACUGAGCAACACCAGCACUGCUGCCCACAUCUCCUCUGUCCUCCAGCUCUCUGCUGCAUGUUUACACACCGAGGGCUCGGACCGGUCACACAGUAAACACACACAUACACACACACACACACACACACUGCCCGCGUCUCACUACCGGCAAGUCAUGACUUUAGCUUUUUCCACAUCCUGCUGCCAACGCACAGCUUAUUUUUUUUUCUGCUUAUUUUUUUUUAAAUCACCCAAACACUUGGAUUUUGAUUCAGUUUUUGGACUGGCUUUAUCUUUUUCCGUUCCUCUCCCUUUCUCUCUCUCUCUCUCAGUCGGCCAGCUCACCCCUCCCCCCACCUCCAUGCCAGGUAGAUAUUUCCUUUAUUUCUCAGGAAGUAUUUGAUAGAUCAUUUUAUGAGGAAAUGUAUCCACCAGCCACAGCACAACAGCAACUAAAUAAUCCCCCCCCCACACACACACACACAUUCGCACCAAAAAUUUAAUUUGUAUCAAUCAUUUGAGAAUGUCUCUCUCUUGACCUGCCAGUGGCCCCUUUUCUUUGGAAAUGCAAAUAUUAUCCUCCAAUGUUUGGAGCAGCACCUGGAUGAGAGACUAUCUUUAUAUUUUGUGUUUGGUGGAUUUAUUCUAGUUUAUUCUUUUUUUUUUUUCAGAGAUUAGGGAAAGCAUUUUGAAAUCCCAGAGGGGAACGAGGACCCCUGUUCUUUUUUUUGUUUUUUUAAGAUCACUAACUUUUCAAGAGAAGUGUGGGGUGUUUGUUUUUUUAUAGCCAGACAGACAGACGGACGGACGGACGGACAACUCUACACUUAUUCACUUGACUGACAGUCCUGCUUUUAACCCGAUUCGUUUACUUUAUUUUUCUUUAUUUUUUUUGACAAGCGGAAGGGAUGAGAAGUCAAUCCGAGAGCCGAAAUGUGAAUCUCUCUCUGCCCCUUUACAAGUGUUGUAUAGACUCUCAUUCUUCAAACCUCCUUUGUUUUUUUUGUUUUUGUUGUUGUUGUUGUCGUCAGACAGCAUGGAAUAAUGACACUUGCAAAGUGGCGCUGAAAAAGUAAAUAAUGACAUAACCAUGAAUAAAGGAUUGUAAAAUAUUAAUAAAAAAAAGUACUUUUCAGAAAA